rnacentral:rRNA from 1 species
UACGUAGGGUCCGAGCGUUGUCCGGAUUUAUUGGGCGUAAAGAGCUCGUAGGCGGUUCGAUAAGUCGGACGUGAAAUCUCCACGCUCAACGUGGAGGGGCCGUUCGAUACUGUCGUGACUCGAGUCCGGUAGGGGAGUGUGGAAUUCCCGGUGUAGCGGUGAAAUGCGCAGAGAUCGGGAGGAACACCCGUAGCGAAGGCGGCACUCUGGGCCGGUACUGACGCUGAGGAGCGAAAGCGUGGGGAGCAAACAGGG